AUUUCUUCUUGGAAAAAAUCACAUCACCUUUUCAUUCUUUUUUACUUUUAAAGUUUGGAGAGCUGAUACAGUCUAAACACAUUGACAAUG